rnacentral:rRNA from 1 species
AGAGUUUGAUCCUGGCUCAGGAUGAACGCUAGCGACAGGCUUAACACAUGCAAGUCGAGGGGCAGCAGGGAGUAGCAAUACUCCGCUGGCGACCGGCGCACGGGUGAGUAACGCGUAUGCAACCUACCUAUCAGAGGGGGAUAACCCGGCGAAAGUCGGACUAAUACCGCAUAAAACAGGGGUCCCGCAUGGGAAUAUUUGUUAAAGAUUAAUUGCUGAUAGAUGGGCAUGCGUUCCAUUAGAUAGUUGGUAAGGUAACGGCUUACCAAGUCUGCGAUGGAUAGGGGUUCUGAGAGGAAGGUCCCCCACACUGGUACUGAGACACGGACCAGACUCCUACGGGAGGCAGCAGUGAGGAAUAUUGGUCAAUGGGCGAGAGCCUGAACCAGCCAAGUCGCGUGAAGGAUGAAGGAUCUAUGGUUCGUAAACUUCUUUUAUAAGGGAAUAAAGUGCGGGACGUGUCCUGUUUUGUAUGUACCUUAUGAAUAAGGAUCGGCUAACUCCGUGCCAGCAGCCGCGGUAAUACGGAGGAUCCGAGCGUUAUCCGGAUUUAUUGGGUUUAAAGGGUGCGUAGGUGGUUUAUUAAGUCAGCGGUGAAAGUUUGUGGCUCAACCAUAAAAUUGCCGUUGAAACUGGUUAACUUGAGUAUAUUUGAGGUAGGCGGAAUGCGUGGUGUAGCGGUGAAAUGCAUAGAUAUCACGCAGAACUCCAAUUGCGAAGGCAGCUUACUAAACUAUAACUGACACUGAAGCACGAAAGCGUGGGGAUCAAACAGGAUUAGAUACCCUGGUAGUCCACGCAGUAAACGAUGAUUACUAGGAGUUUGCGAUACACAGUAAGCUCUACAGCGAAAGCGUUAAGUAAUCCACCUGGGGAGUACGCCGGCAACGGUGAAACUCAAAGGAAUUGACGGGGGCCC